rnacentral:rRNA from 1 species
GAUGAACGCUGGCGGCGUGCUUAACACAUGCAAGUCGAACGGGAAACAUUUCAUUGAGGCUUCGGCGGAUUUGAUCUGUUUCUAGUGGCGGACGGGUGAGUAACGCGUGGGUAACCUGCCUUAUACUGGGGGAUAACAGCCAGAAAUGACUGCUAAUACCGCAUAAGCGCACAGAACCGCAUGGCUCCGUGUGAAAAACUCCGGUGGUAUAAGAUGGACCCGCGUUGGAUUAGCUAGUUGGCAGGGCAGCGGCCUACCAAGGCGACGAUCCAUAGCCGGCCUGAGAGGGUGAACGGCCACAUUGGGACUGAGACACGGCCCAGACUCCUACGGGAGGCAGCAGUGGGGAAUAUUGCACAAUGGGGGAAACCCUGAUGCAGCGACGCCGCGUGAAGGAAGAAGUAUCUCGGUAUGUAAACUUCUAUCAGCAGGGAAGAUAAUGACGGUACCUGACUAAGAAGCCCCGGCUAACUACGUGCCAGCAGCCGCGGUAAUACGUAGGGGGCAAGCGUUAUCCGGAUUUACUGGGUGUAAAGGGAGCGUAGACGGCGCAGCAAGUCUGAUGUGAAAGGCAGGGGCUUAACCCCUGGACUGCAUUGGAAACUGCUGUGCUUGAGUGCCGGAGGGGUAAGCGGAAUUCCUAGUGUAGCGGUGAAAUGCGUAGAUAUUAGGAGGAACACCAGUGGCGAAGGCGGCUUACUGGACG